AUACCUUUCUCUGCCUUUUGGCUAAGAUCAAGUGUAGUAUUUGUUCUUAUCAAUUUAAGGGGGAUUGGAAAAAGAUGACCAUUGCCUAAAACAUCAAGCACAACUCACU
rnacentral:snRNA from 1 species